rnacentral:sRNA from 12 species
UCAUUCACUGGUCGGUUAACAGUAGCGGUGAAUGUUUAAACCCCCUACUAUGGGAAAGACAAGGAAGCAGGGGUACGGGUGGCGAAGUUAGCGCCCUAUUGUCGAACGGCUGACGAGU